rnacentral:rRNA from 1 species
AGGGAAUUUUCCGCAAUGGGCGAAAGCCUGACGGAGCAAUCUCGCGUGAGGGAUGACGGCCUAUGGGUUGUAAACCUCUUUUUUCAGGGAGGAAUAAAUGACGUGUACCUGAAGAAUAAGCAUCGGCUAACUC